GACGAACGCUGGCGGCGUGCUUAACACAUGCAAGUCGAACGGAAAGGCCUCUUUCGGGGGGUACUCGAGUGGCGAACGGGUGAGUAACACGUGAGUAACCUGCCCUUGACUUUUGGAUAACUUCAGGGAACUGUGGCUAUUACCGGAUAGGGGCUCCUGCUGCAUGGUGGGGGUUGUAGAGUUUCGGCGGGUGGGGAUGGAACCGCGGGUUAUCUGCGUGUUGGUGGGGGAGUGGCUUACCAAGGCUUUGUCGGGUAGCCGGGCUGAGAGGGUGACCGGGCACAAUGGGAACGGGAUACGGGCCAGACUCCUAAGGGAGGCAGGAGGGGGGAAUAUUGCAAAAUGGGUGGAAGCCUGAUGCAGCAACGGCGGGUGCGGGAAGACGGGCUUCGGGGUGUAAACCGCUUUCGCCCAGGACGAAGCUGUGUGUGACGGUAGUGGGUAAAGAAGCACCGGCUAACUACGUG
rnacentral:rRNA from 1 species